UGGGGGAUAUUGCACAAUGGGCGAAAGCCUGAUGCAGCGACGCCGCGUGGGGGAUGAAGGCCUUCGGGUUGUAAACUUCUUUUGCUCUGAACAAGGCAUGCCUUUGGGGUGUGUUGAGUGUAGGGGUUGAUUAGCGCCGGCUAACUACGUGCCAGCAGCCGCGGUAAUACGUAGGGCGCGAGCGUUGUCCGGAAUUAUUGGGCGUAAAGGGCUUGUAGGUGGCUGGUUGCGUCUGUCGUGAAAGCUCAUGGCUUAACUGUGGGUUUGCGGUGGGUACGGGCUGGCUUGAGUGCAGUAGGGGAGGCUGGAAUUCCUGGUGUAGCGGUGGAAUGCGCAGAUAUCAGGAGGAAUACCGGUGGCGAAGGCGGGUCUCUGGGCUGUUACUGACGCUGAGGAGCGGAAGCGUGGGGAGCGAACAGG
rnacentral:rRNA from 1 species